GUGGGGAAUCUUCCGCAAUGGACGAAAGUCUGACGGAGCAACGCCGCGUGAGUGAUGACGGCCUUCGGGUUGUAAAGCUCUGUUAAUCGGGACGAAAGGUCCUCUUGUGAAUAAUUAGAGGAAUUGACGGUACCGGAAUAGAAAGCCACGGCUAACUACGUGCCAGCAGCCGCGGUAAUACGUAGGUGGCAAGCGUUGUCCGGAAUUAUUGGGCGUAAAGCGCGCGCAGGCGGAUUAGUCAGUCUGUCUUAAAAGUUCGGGGCUUAACCCCGUGAUGGGAUGGAAACUGCUAAUCUAGAGUAUCGGAGAGGAAAGUGGAAUUCCUAGUGUAGCGGUGAAAUGCGUAGAUAUUAGGAAGAACACCAGUGGCGAAGGCGACUUUCUGGACGAAAACUGACGCUGAGGCGCGAAAGCCAGGGGAGCGAACGGGAUUAGAAACCCUAGUAGUCC
rnacentral:rRNA from 1 species